AGCGAACUGGCAGACGCACAGGACUUAAAAUCCUGCGGUGGGUGACCACCGUACGGGUUCGAUUCCCGU
rnacentral:tRNA from 1 species